GUAUCAGAAGUGCGAAUGCUGACAUAAGUAACGAUAAAGCGGGUGAAAAGCCCGCUCGCCGGAAGACCAAGGGUUCCUGUCCAACGUUAAUCGGGGCAGGGGGAGUCGACCCCUAAGGCGAGGCCGAAAGGCGUAGUCGAUGGGAAACAGGUUAAUAUUCCUGUACUUGGUGUUACUGCGAAGGGGGGACGGAGAAGGCUAUGUUAGCCGGGCGACGGUUGUCCCGGUUUAAGCAUGUAGGCUGGUUGUCCAGGCAAAUCCGGAUAAUCAAGGCUGAGGUGUGAUGACGAGGCACUACGGUGCUGAAGUAACAAAUGCCCUGCUUCCAGGAAAAGCCUCUAAGCAUCAGGUAACAUCAAAUCGUACCCCAAACCGACACAGGUGGUCA
rnacentral:rRNA from 1 species